rnacentral:rRNA from 1 species
UACGAAGGGUGCAAGCGUUAGUCGGAAUUACUGGGCGUAAAGCGUGCGUAGGCGGUCUCUUAAGUCCGUUGUGAAAUCCCCGGGCUCAACCUGGGAAUGGCAUUUGGGACUGCAAGGCUGGAGUGCGGCAGAGGAGACUGGAAUUCCUGGUGUAGCAGUGAAAUGCGUAGAUAUCAGGAGGAACACCGAUGGCGAAGGCAGGUCUCUGGGCUGACACUGACGCUCAUGCACGAAAGCGUGGGGAGCAAACAGG